AUUGAACGCUGGCGGCAUGCCUUACACAUGCAAGUCGAACGGCAGCAUGAUCUAGCUUGCUAGAUUGAUGGCGAGUGGCGAACGGGUGAGUAAUACAUCGGAACGUGCCCUGUAGUGGGGGAUAACUAGUGGAAAGAUUAGCUAAUACCGCAUACGACCUGAGGGGGAAAGUGGGGGACCGCAAGGCCCCAUGCUAUAGGAGCGGCCGAUGUCUGAUUAGCUAGUUGGUGAGGUAAAGGCUCACCAAGGCAACGAUCAGUAGCUGAUCUGAGAGGACGAUCAGCCACACUGGAACUGAGACACGGCCCAGACUCCUACGGGAGGCAGCAGUGGGGAAUUUUGGGCAAUGGGCGAAAGCCUGACCCAGCAAUGCCGCGUGUGUGAAGAAGGCCUUCGGGUUGUAAAACACUUUUGUCCGGAAAGAAAUGGCUCUGGUUAAUACCUGGAGUCGAUGACGGUACCGGAAGAAUAAGGACCGGCUAACUACGUG
rnacentral:rRNA from 1 species